AUUGAACGCUGGCGGCAGGCCUAACACAUGCAAGUCGAACGAGUGGCGGACGGGUGAGUAAUGCUUGGGCAUCUAGCUAAUGGAGGGGGCUAACUACGGGAAACUGUAGCUAAUACCGCGUACCAUAGGAUGAGCCCAAGUGGGAUUAGGUAGUUGGUGAGGUAAAGGCUCACCAAGCCGACAAUCUCUAGCUGGGCUGAGAGGAUGACCAGCCACACGGGGACUGAGACACGGCCCAGACGCCUACGGGAGGCAGCAGUGGGGAAUCUUGGGCAAUGGGGGCAACCUGACGCAGCCAUGCCGCGUGAAUGAAGAAGGCCUUCGGGUUGUAAAGUUCUUUCGGUAGCGAGGCGUUAUCUACAGAAGAAGCACCGGCUAACUCCGUGCCAGCCGCCGCGGUAAUAC
rnacentral:rRNA from 1 species